CAAGCCCCAAUAGUGAUCCCAAUUCCUUAUUUUACCUUACAACGUCAAUAGUUUUCCAACUUUCAAUUCGAAAUAUUUCUUGAUACAAUUUCCAAAAGUUGUUGAAAUCAAAUUGUUAGUGGAUUAAAUAGAAUUGGGGGGAAGGGAUUUCCGACAGACGAUCAUCUCGAAAGGUUAGUAAGUGUUUGUGUAAAAACGGGAUUUUUAUGUUGAUUGUUAGUUGUACUCAAUUUUAUUCUAAUCGAUUGUUGUGAAUAAUGUGAUUUAAUCCUCAGAAUUUAUUAUUAUUCCUUUUUCCCCAAAAAAAUGUUGUUUCUUGACGGUAUUCUUUCUUACCCAACAGCGAUAUUUCUUGACAAUGUCUCUCUUGAAUUUUUGAUUUGGUUGCUUAUGAUUUUCCCCUUGACUAAACCCUAAUUAUUAUCGCACCGUAGAUUUUUGUUUAUUUUGUUGCUUACAGAUAUUACAACCAUUGCUUUGGUUAGUGGAUUGUUGUUUAAUUUUGGCGUUUAUUUAUUUAUUGUUAUUAUUGUUUCCUUCUAAUUGUAUUUACGGAAUGUACGGAUUUUGUAUGUUUUAUUUCAAUUGAUUUUUAUUUUUCUUCUUCGUUAUUUGAUAUGUAUUUUUUUUUAAUGAUUAUUGAUAUUUUGACUUCUACUACUUAUGUAAAAAAUGAAAUUGAUUUUUGAUUUUCUGUGUUAUGUAUUUUAGAUAAAAAUAAAUAAAUAAAAAUUUUUUUUUUUUUGAUUUUGAAAUGGUUACCUUAUACUGUAAAAAAUUAGUUUCUUUUAUUUAUUUAAUUCACAACUUCAAUUAUCUAUUUCUGUUUGUGAAUAUGGGUCUGCGACCAAAGUAAUACAUUGUGUGGGACAUAUUAUGUGAAAUUAACUACUUCCAAUUCUCAUGGUAGGAAGUAAAAAAAAGCCAUUUGUUUGCUCAUUGUUGGGCCCACAAUAAUAUUUCAUAUUUGCUUCUAAAUAAUGUGCAGUGUGUUGUUCAGUCCAACACUUCUGGUUGCUGAUAAUCAAUCUUCAAAUCUAAUCUGCUCCCCACUUCAGCACUUACAGUUCUCCGUUAUGGCUGCUGUCGAUAACACUGUGCAGAGGAGCAUAAAGUUCAAAAUCACAUCAAAAGGAAUACGGCGUGAAUUAGAAGACAAGUCAAGUGGUGACAUGAUGAUGAUAGUGAAUAAUAAACGUAGAGAUGGAGUUAAUGGAAAUGGAAAAUCCAUUCCAGUCAAAUAUACGAAGUCAGGCAACUCUAACAAGCGUAAACCCGGAGUGAUCCUUGAGUGUCAUAGGGAGAAAAAGCAGAGGACAGAACAAAAUUUCAAGGAGCAGUAUAGUAAAAUUUUGAGAUCGUUGAUGAGGCACCCUCACGGGUUUGCUUUCAAUCAACCAAUUGAUCCUAUGAAGCUGAAGAUUCCAGAUUAUUUUUCAAUAAUCACUGAGCCAAUGGAUUUGGGAAAGAUCAAGUGUAAACUGGAGGAAAAUAGAUACUUUGAUGCAGAGGAAUUUGCUAGGGACGUGAGGCUGACUUUUUCCAAUGCAAUGGUGUACAAUCCUCCUGGGAACUAUGUCUAUAACUUCGCGAAAGAAUUAAAUGAUCUCUUCAGUAAGAGAUGGAAUUUAUUGAAGACUAAAUUGAAUGUGAUCGUCAAAGGAACAUCACUAGAGCUGGAAAGAGCAAUAAAGGUUUCUUUGGAAGUAACAGAAGGAAAGGUGAGUAAAUGUAAUGGUGUAUACAAUCUGGUUGUGUCUAUUGGUGUGAUGCUUUCUUCCUUUAUCAAUUUUGCACAGUACUGUUUUCUAAUUGUCACAAUGUUGUCAUGCACUUGCUUCGUUUGCUCUAUCCUUAGUUUGCUGCUCCUUGUUAGUGGUUACUAGACCUUUCUUUACAUAAAUUGUUGAUUCUGUAUGUUUUCCUGAACAGGCGAAGCCUUCGAGAACAGCACAAAGUGGGCGCCCCAAACUAGUGAAAACUUUUCAUAAAGGUUAGAGACGUGACAGAAUAAGUUUGUGCGUUCUGGUUCUUUACAUGACUGAUUGGCCAUGUAUCUUGUAUGCAGAUAAUGGAAAUCAAGCAUUUGCUACUUCCAAUAGAAAACAACCAUUUGAUUUCCCUGCAGUCAAAUGUGCUGCAUGUGGUAGUCUGACGUGCCAAUGCAGCCUCAGAUGUUCUGUUAAGCCAUCUUCCAAUGGUGAUUUAAAUUCUUAUAACAACUUGUUAAUAUGUUGCAUUUGUGUUCAUGUCAACUAAUUUGGAGUAUAUUGCAUCUUGUUUCAGAUUUUUCUUCAAAAAGAUUAUUUGAUCGUGAUCACUCCGAUGAUUCUAAACUGGUAAAUUUUAGACUCUUCUCGUUUCACCAAAUAAUUUAUUUUUUCAAAUAUAUGGUGUCACUUAUUGUUGAUCUUUCCCGUGUCUAUUUACAUCAGGAUGGUGGGGUUAAAUAUCCUUUGACAUCUCCAACAAGAGGAUUACAGCUUGAUUCAUAUGGUGAGAGCAAUAGCUGUUGCCUAUAUGUUUACAAUUGUGUAGCUUGUUUUUUGAUUAUUUGAGCUUUGACAUGCUAUUGUCAAUGAAUUGUAGGGCAUGAAUGUGUUCCCAAUGAAGACAAUUCUCAGCAAAAAGUCUCUUCCCCAGCAACAACUGCUGCCAUUGAUAAAGGUAACUAUGAUCUAGAAAUGGAAAUGCAUUUUUGGGAUUAACCUUUUACUCCCACUGGCACACCCAGACAUGCAUAUAUCAGUUCUGCAUGUAAGAAAAUGAUUUGCUUUUCCUCUGCAAAUUCCAAGAUCAAAACUACUGAAGUAUCAUUCAUAGCUUGGAAAUAUGGAGAUUUGAUUUAUAUAUGCCUUUGUUUUAGGAUGGACUUCACCUGUUAAUAUGCCGCCAAACAAGGUUUUGCGUGCUUCCAUGCUAAAAAGCCGCUUUGCAGAUACUAUCUCCAGAGCUAGACAUCAUACUCUCCUGGAUCAUGUAAUAAUUUCUUAUUGCUUGCAAAAAUUUGGCAUACAUACUAGGUUGGUCGAGCUCUUCGUUUUGUGGAUAUACUAAUCUCUGUCUCUGUUGAUUUCUAUUUAGGGCAAGAAGAUUAAUCCUGUGAGUAGGCAAAAAGAAAGGGAAAGACUGGAAAGGCAGCAGUGUGAAGGUAUCUUAGCAUAUCCUUGAUCCAAUAUUUUGGUGUACUGUAAUAUUUUCGUGUUAAAAUGUUGCCUUCCUAUGGAACUUUUAGUGUAAUAUUUGCCAUUUUGGGCUAGUGUUGUCUUGUAUUGAAAUUCUCUUUCUUGAUGAUCAGUAGAUGUGACACAAGGCAUGUGGCUGAAAAUAAAGUUUAAAUUAUAUAGACUCUUGUGUGAACUGUGAAACUAUUCUGGUUUGUGAAUUAAAAACGAGACAUGAAUUUUCAUUUAGAUAUCUGAUUGUCAUUCUUUUCUUUUACGGUAUAAGUAUUUCAUUAGUAUUUCUCUUCAUUUGGGAAUAUUUUGUUUACACUGGAUGUUUGACCUUCUGCAGAGAAGGCUAGGAUUGCAACUGCUGUAGCAGCCUCCCGAAUGAGGUUGGAGACAGAGUUGAAGAUGCAACGUGAGAGGGAAAGAAAAGCAGCCAGAAUUGCAUUAGAAAAGGUCCCUUUUUAAAUUCAUUUUUGUAUUCCUUGAUCCUGUGUGAUUCCUGUUAUGAUUUGCCUCAUUGAUACUAAAGAAAUUUAAAUUUACUGACGUUUGUUUCACUCUAAUUUAGAUGGGAAAAACAGUCUAUUUCAACGAGAAUAGAGAUAUUAUGGAGUUUGAAGCAAUAAUUGGAGGCAUCAGCAUUGGUAACUUGAGAAACUCUCUGGAACAGCUUGGGUUAUACAUAAAGGAUGAUUGCAUGGAAAAUGAUGAAGUGGAGGCAAUUCUGCAAGGAGAAGAGGGGGAAAUUCUUUCGUAAUCCUAGCUGCAUAUAUGUGUAGUUUUGAGGUGUUAAUUGUAAAUUAGUAUUCAUUUUGUGGGCUGUUAGGGAACGAAAGGCAAGAUCUCUAAUUAGUCAAUCAAACAUUGUAAGUACAACUAGUGCAUAUUUUUUGUAGAUGCAGUCCAACAAAGAUUCAGUACAACUUGUGAAUAAUUUUUUGUGUAUUUAGAAUUUGUCUUGUAAAUCCGUAUGUCCAGCGUGGUGCUGCCAUUGGAUUGAAAAAGCAAUGUUAUGCCCGUAGGAUGGUAGCAAUUUACUUUUUAUUAUUUUUUAUUUUUUUUACAAUUUUUUUACAAUUUAUUUAUUUAUUUAUUUAUUAUUUUUUUUUUCCGGAUCAAAUUGCUCGUUUGAGCUUAAG
rnacentral:lncRNA from 1 species